CACGUGGGUAACCUGCCCAAGAGACUGGGAUAACACCUGGAAACAGAUGCUAAUACCGGAUAACAACACUAGACGCAUGUCUAGAGUUUGAAAGAUGGUUCUGCUAUCACUCUUGGAUGGACCUGCGGUGCAUUAGCUAGUUGGUAAGGUAACGGCUUACCAAGGCAAUGAUGCAUAGCCGAGUUGAGAGACUGAUCGGCCACAUUGGGACUGAGACACGGCCCAAACUCCUACGGGAGGCAGCAGUAGGGAAUCUUCCACAAUGGACGAAAGUCUGAUGGAGCAACGCCGCGUGAGUGAAGAAGGGUUUCGGCUCGUAAAGCUCUGUUGGUAGUGAAGAAAGAUAGAGGUAGUAACUGGCCUUUAUUUGACGGUAAUUACUUAGAAAGUCACGGCUAACUACGUGCCAGCAGCCGCGGUAAUACGUAGGUGGCAAGCGUUGUCCGGAUUUAUUGGGCGUAAAGCGAGUGCAGGCGGUUCAAUAAGUCUGAUGUGAAAGCCUUCGGCUCAACCGGAGAAUUGCAUCAGAAACUGUUGAACUUGAGUGCAGAAGAGGAGAGUGGAACUCCAUGUGUAGCGGUGGAAUGCGUAGAUAUAUGGAAGAACACCAGUGGC
rnacentral:rRNA from 1 species